rnacentral:rRNA from 1 species
GACAGCCAGGAUGUUGGCUUAGAAGCAGCCAUCAUUUAAAGAAAGCGUAAUAGCUCACUGGUCGAGUCGGCCUGCGCGGAAGAUGUAACGGGGCUAAACCAUGCACCGAAGCUGCGGCAGCGACGCUUAUGCGUUGUUGGGUAGGGGAGCGUUCUGUAAGCCUGUGAAGGUGUGCUGUGAGGCAUGCUGGAGGUAUCAGAAGUGCGAAUGCUGACAUAAGUAACGAUAAAGCGGGUGAAAAGCCCGCUCGCCGGAAGAC